rnacentral:rRNA from 1 species
UACGGGAGGCAGCAGUGGGGAAUAUUGGACAAUGGGGGCAACCCUGAUCCAGCCAUGCCGCGUGAAUGAUGAAGGCCUUCGGGUUGUAAAGUUCUUUUGGUAGGGACGAUGAUGACGGUACCUACAGAAUAAGCUCCGGCUAACUUCGUGCCAGCAGCCGCGGUAAUACGAAGGGAGCUAGCGUUGUUCGGAAUUACUGGGCGUAAAGAGCGCGUAGGCGGUUUAACAAGUCAGAAGUGAAAGCCCUGGGCUCAACCCGGGAAUUGCUUUUGAGACUGUUUUUCUGGAGUACGAGAGAGGUAAGUGGAAUUCCCAGUGUAGCAGUGAAAUGCGUAGAUAUUGGGAGGAACACCAGUGGCGAAGGCGGCUUACUGGCUCGUAACUGACGCUAAGGCGCGAAAGCGUGGGGAGCAAACAGGAUUAGAUACCCUGGUAGUCCACGCCGUAAACGAUGUAUGCUAGACGUGAGGGGACUUCGUCCUUUCGUGUCGCCGCUAACGCAUUAAGCAUACCGCCUGGGGAGUACGGCCGCAAGGUUGAAACUCAAAUGAAUUGACGGGGGCAAGGGCGAAUUCUGCAGAUAUCCAUCACACUGGCGGCCGCUCGAGCAUGC